CCUACGGGAGGCAGCAGUGGGGAAUUUUGGACAAUGGGGGCAACCCUGAUCCAGCCAUGCCGCGUGAGUGAAGAAGGCCUUCGGGUUGUAAAGCUCUUUCGGUGGGGAAGAAAUUGCACCUUCUAAUACAGGGUGUAGAUGACGGUACCCGCAUAAGAAGCACCGGCUAACUACGUGCCAGCAGCCGCGGUAAUACGUAGGGUGCGAGCGUUAAUCGGAAUUACUGGGCGUAAAGCGUGCGCAGGUGGUUGUGUAAGUCAGAGGUGAAAUCCCCGGGCUCAACCUGGGAACUGCCUUUGAGACUGCACGGCUAGAGGAUAGCAGAGGGGGGUGGAAUUCCACGUGUAGCAGUGAAAUGCGUAGAGAUGUGGAGGAACACCGAUGGCGAAGGCAGCCCCCUGGGCUAUUACUGACACUCAUGCACGAAAGCGUGGGGAGCAAACAGGAUUAGAUACCCUGGUAGUCCACGCCCUAAACGAUGUCAACUGGAUGUUGGGAGGGUUAAACCUCUUAGUGUCGUAGCUAACGCGUGAAGUUGACCGCCUGGGGAGUACGGCCGCAAGGCUAAAACUCAAAGGAAUUGACGG
rnacentral:rRNA from 1 species